AACGAACGCUGGCGGCACGCCUAACACAUGCAAGUCGAACGGUAACGGCUCUUCGGAGGCCGACGAGUGGCGGACGGGUGAGUAACGCGUAGCUACCUGCCCUCUGGCGGGGACAACAGUUGGAAACGACUGCUAAUACCGCAUAUCUCCUACGGGAGAAAGACCUUCGGGUCACCAGAGGAGGGGGCUGCGUUGGAUUAGCUAGUUGGUAGGGUAACGGCCUACCAAGGCGACGAUCAGUAGCUGGUCUGAGAGGAUGAUCAGCCACACUGGGACUGAGAUACGGCCCAGACUCCUACGGGAGGCAGCAGUAGGGAAUAUUGCGCAAUGGACGAAAGUCUGACGCAGCAACGCCGCGUGAUCGAUGAAGCUUUAAGGAGUGUAAAGAUCUGUCCUAAGGGAAGAAUGGUUUCAAGUUGAACAAGCUUGAUUCGUGACGGUACCUACAGAAAAGCUCCGGCUAACUCCGUGCCAGCAGCCGCGGUAA
rnacentral:rRNA from 1 species